CCCUUAGAUGUUCUGGGCCGCACACGCGCUACACUGGCAGGUUCAUCGAGCUUCAUGCCCUGAUCUGAGAAGAACGGGAAAUCUUUGAACACCUGCCGUGCUUGGGAUAGAUGUUUGCAAUUAUUCAUCUUCAACGAGGAUUGCCUUGUAAGCGCACGUCAUCAGCGUGCAUUGAAUACGACCCUGUAUUCUGUACACACCGCCCGCCGCUCCUACCGAUUGAAGUUUUCGGUGAAUUUACUGGAGAUCCCUUUUGAAGGUGGUUCGCCACUGGAAGAAGUAUUCAAAAGUAAAUGAAUCGAAUGCUUUAGAGGAAGGAGAAGUCGUAACA
rnacentral:rRNA from 1 species